AACGAACGCUGGCGGCAGGCCUAACACAUGCAAGUCGAACGCCGUAGCAAUACGGAGUGGCAGACGGGUGAGUAACACGUGGGAACAUACCCUUCGGUUCGGAAUAACUCAGGGAAACUUGAGCUAAUACCGGAUACGUCCGCGAGGAGAAAGAUUCAUCGCCGGAGGAUUGGCCCGCGUCUGAUUAGCUUGUUGGUGAGGUAAUGGCUCACCAAGGCGACGAUCAGUAGCNGGUCUGAGAGGAUGAUCAGCCACAUUGGGACUGAGACACGGCCCAAACUCCUACGGGAGGCAGCAGGUGGGGAAUAUUGGACAAUGGGCGCAAGCCUGAUCCAGCCAUGCCGCGUGAGUGAUGAAGG
rnacentral:rRNA from 1 species